rnacentral:rRNA from 1 species
GUGAGGAAUAUUGGUCAAUGGACGCAAGUCUGAACCAGCCAUGCCGCGUGCAGGAUGACGGCUCUAUGAGUUGUAAACUGCUUUUGUACGAGGGUAAUAUCAGAUACGUGUAUCUGCUUGAAAGUAUCGUACGAAUAAGGAUCGGCUAACUCCGUGCCAGCAGCCGCGGUAAUACGGAGGAUCCAAGCGUUAUCCGGAUUUAUUGGGUUUAAAGGGUGCGUAGGCGGUUUUAUAAGUUAGAGGUGAAAAUUCGGGGCUCAACUCCGGACGUGCCUCUAAUACUGUAUGACUAGAGAAUAGAUGCGGUAGGCGGAAUGUAUGGUGUAGCGGUGAAAUGCGUAGAGAUCAUACAGAACACCGAUUGCGAAGGCAGCUUACCAAACUAUAUCUGACGUUGAGGCACGAAAGCGUGGGGAGCAAACAGG